rnacentral:rRNA from 1 species
GACAGAGGGGGCAAGCGUUGCUCGGAAUUACUGGGCGUAAAGGGCGCGUAGGCGGGAUGGCAAGUCGGUCGUGAAAUCCCUCGGCUCAACCGAGGAACGUCGAUCGAUACUGCUGUUCUUGAGGAUUGCAGAGGAGACUGGAAUUCCCGGUGUAGCGGUGAAAUGUGUAGAGAUCGGGAGGAACACCGGUGGCGAAGGCGGGUCUCUGGGCCGUAACUGACGCUGAGGAGCGAAAGCAUGGGUAGCGAACAGG